rfam:Triticum urartu cultivar G1812 contig1149275, whole genome shotgun sequence.
AACAUACUUCCUCCGUCCGAAAAUACUUGUCAUCAAGAUGAAUAAAAGGGGAUGUAUCUAAAUAUAUUUUAGUCCUAGAUACAUCCCUUUUAAUCCAUUUUGAUGACAAGUAUUUGCGGACGAAGGGAGUAUGAA